rnacentral:lncRNA from 1 species
GAAAAAAUAAAAAAUAAAAAUCAAUACAAUUGUGCAAAUCCAACAUGAAAGAAUGCACAGAUUAUAUUAUUAAAUAUGCUGAAGAAUUCUAUAGAUAAAUAAAAGUAGAGAAUUGGUUAAUCUGUACUAAAAAAGGAAAGAUGGUAAAGAAAAUGGCAAUGAAGAAGCAGGAGAAGAAACCACAACUUAUGGUGAAGAGAAAUGGUUGCAUGCCAGAAAAAUAAAUUGUCAUAUGAAAAAGAGAAACUGUCGCAUGGAGAAGAUAAAUUUCAUAUGGGAAAGAGAAACGGUCACAUUGGAAAAAUAAAAUAUCAUAUAAAAUUAUGGCGAAGAGAAACGAUUGCAUGACCGAAAAAAUAAAUUGUCAUAUGGAAAAGAGAAACGGUCGCAUGGAGAAGAUAACUUCCAUAUGGGAAAAAGAAACGGUCACAUUGGAAAGAUAAAAUGUCAUAUGAAAAAAAGAAACGGUUGAAGGAAGAGGAGAGGUCGGUUCAAAGAAAGCAAAAGAUAAAAUGUCAUAUGAAAAAAAGAAACGGUUGAAGGAAGAGGAAAGGUCGGUUCAAAGAGAGCAAAAAAAUAUAAAAAAUUUAAAAAAGGAGGGCUUGCCAUGUCAUCAUUUUUAUUGGGGAUUUAUAUAGAGUUAUAGAUUAUAGAUAUUGUAGUUGGAGAUACACAUAGUUAGAAAUACAAAUACAAUAGUUAUAACUAUUUGUAUUUUGUUUGAUUGGAUAUAAUAGAAAAUAUUGUCGGUAUAAAUAAUUUAUUUAUUUGUACGUGGUUGAAAAGUGUAUUUCUAAAAUUUUAUGAUUUUAUAUAUAUGGUAGCGAAAAUUAGUUUUAAUGUACAAUUUUGUUUAAAAAGUAAUGAUUUGGAAAGUAAGCUUACCUUUUGUAUAA